GAUGAAGAACGCAGCGAAAUGCGAUAAGUAAUGUGAUUUGCAGAAUUCAGUGAAUCAUCGAAUCUUUGAACGCACCUUGCGCCCCUUGGUUAUUCCAAAGGGCAUGCCUGUUUGAGUAUCAUGAACACCUCAACUCUUGUGGUUUCCCACAAUGAGCUUGGACUGUGGAGGUUUUGUUGGCCCUGUGGUCAGCUCCUCUCAAAUGGAUCAGCUUACCGGUGUUUGGUGGCAUUACGGGUGUGAUAACUAUCUACGCUCGUGGUCGUCUCCAAAUAACCUCCAGUGAUGGAGGUUCGCUGGAGCUUAUAAAUGUCUCUCCCCAGUGAAGACAGCCUUUGAACGUUCGAUCUCAAAUCAGGUAGGACUACCCGCUGAACUUAAGCAUAUCAAUAAGCGGAGGA
rnacentral:misc_RNA from 1 species